rnacentral:lncRNA from 1 species
CUCCGGAUCGAAAAAGUCAAAACACGAAAAAUGUCCGGAAUAUUCAAAUUAGGCUAAAGGUGAGUUUUGUUGAAACUUCCGGGAAGAAAAUUUGCUACCCCGUUACGAGUGGACGGUUUUACGGAAGUCAAAUAAUUAAUAAAUAAAUAUAAAUAUACGCAAUUAAAUCCGUAAAUCGAUUAUAAAAUCAUAUAACAUCCAUAAAUCGAUAUGAACAUAUUUAAAUAAACUAUAUUUUCUCCUGAGCAUAUAGAAAUUGAAAUCUCUCAAAUACGAACACAUAUGAGCAGUUAACGCAAUAAACCAGAUAAUAUAAAAUUAACAAAAAUUCAUAUAUUAAUCAUAUAAUACUCAUAAUUAACCAUAAUUAAUUAACCAACAAAUCCACCAAUACCAAUUACUCACAUCACACAUAUAUUCACAUAAUAAUCAUCUAGAAUUUUCGAAACAAUAUAUGAAAAUCAAUUUUAAAAAUAUAAUCAUUUAUCAAUAACACAAUAACCCGGGGUUUAAUAUAAAAUUUUGAAAACUCCUUAAACUGGAAUAAAAU